UACAGAGGGUGCGAGCGUUAAUCGGAAUUACUGGGCGUAAAGCGUGCGUAGACGGUUUCGUAAGUCGGGUGUGAAAUCCCCGGGCUCAACCUGGGAAUUGCAUUCGAGACUGCGAGGCUAGGGUGCGGAAGAGGGAAGCGGAAUUUCCGGUGUAGCGGUGAAAUGCGUAGAUAUCGGAAGGAACAUCAGUGGCGAAAGCGGCUUCCUGGUCCAGCACCGACGUUCAGGCACGAAAGCGUGGGGAGCAAACAGG
rnacentral:rRNA from 1 species